rnacentral:tRNA from 1 species
GCCGGCGUAGCUCAAUUGGUAGAGCCUCCUUUCCCUAAAUUGGAAUGGUCGAGGGUUCGAAUCCCUCCGCUGGCACCA